AUUGAACGCUGGCGGCAGGCCUAACACAUGCAAGUCGAACGAGUGGCGGACGGGUGAGUAAUGUCUGGGAAACUGCCUGAUGGAGGGGGAUAACUACUGGAAACGGUAGCUAAUACCGCAUACCAUCGGAUGUGCCCAGAUGGGAUUAGCUAGUAGGUGGGGUACAGGCUCACCUAGGCGACUCUCCCUAGCUGGUCUGAGAGGAUGACAAGCACAACGGGAACGGAGACAAGGCACAGACUAAAACGGGAGGCAGCAGGGGGGAAUAGGGCACAAUGGGCGAAAGCCUGAGGCAGCCAUGCCGGGUGUAGGAAGAAGGCCUUCGGGUUGUAAAGUACGUUCAGCGGGGAGGCGUUACCCGCAGAAGAAGCAACGGCUAACUCCGUGCCAGCCGCCGCGGUAAUAC
rnacentral:rRNA from 1 species